rnacentral:tRNA from 1 species
UGGCCCUAGCUUAACGGGUAAAGUACCUCACUGUGAAUGAGGAGAACAGGGUUCGAGUCCCGGGGUCAACCA